rnacentral:rRNA from 1 species
GACGAACGCUGGCGGCGUGCUUAACACAUGCGAGUCGAACGAAGAGCGAUGGAAGCUUGCUUCUAUCAAUCUUAGUGGCGAACGGGUGAGUAACGCGUAAUCAACCUGCCCUUCAGAGGGGGACAACAGUUGGAAACGACUGCUAAUACCGCAUACGAUCUAAUCUCGGCAUCGAGGAUAGAUGAAAGGUGGCCUCUACAUGUAAGCUAUCACUGAAGGAGGGGAUUGCGUCUGAUUAGCUAGUUGGAGGGGUAACGGCCCACCAAGGCGAUGAUCAGUAGCCGGUCUGAGAGGAUGAACGGCCACAUUGGGACUGAGACACGGCCCAGACUCCUACGGGAGGCAGCAGUGGGGAAUCUUCCGCAAUGGACGAAAGUCUGACGGAGCAACGCCGCGUGAGUGAUGACGGCCUUCGGGUUGUAAAGCUCUGUUAAUCGGGACGAAAGGCCUUCUUGCGAACAGUUAGAAGGAUUGACGGUACCGGAAUAGAAAGCCACGGCUAACUACGUG